rnacentral:sRNA from 1 species
GCCGGGCAUGGUGGCCCAUGCCUGUAAUCCCAGUGGCUAGGGAGGCUAAGUCGGAGGAUCACAGUUCAAAGCUAGCCUCAGCAAGGGUGAGGCGCUUAGCAACUCAAUGAGACCCUGUCUCUA